UCGGUCUCAUUUGUGUGAUAGGUUGUGUGUUAAUUUUCCGAAGUUUGGAAAUCUUGUUUACUGAAAUCAUCCCAUGACAUUUUCCCUACUUAUCGCGAAUCAUUUUUCGAUAUGUUAUCCAUCUUUCCACUACUCCAACUCAAACACAAUUAAUUAUGAAAUUUUGUAUGGAUAUAUGACCGAAAAAGUAAGUGUAUUUUGGUGAAAUAGGUAGCAAAAUCCAUUAUAUUAAGUCUUUUAACAUAUACCACAAACAAAAAUGUUAGAAUUCACCCAUCUCAAAUAACACAAUGUCCUUGUUGCGUCCCAAGAUCGUCAUCUAUAUUAGAGUGAGUCAACACAAGACUACACACUCGUUUGAGUUUAGCUUGAUACCACUUAUAACGCUCUGACCGUUUACGGUUAAUGGAUUUUUCCACAUAUCCACUCGGUCU
rnacentral:lncRNA from 1 species